CAGCCGCCGCGGGAAUACGGAGGAUCCGAGCGUUAUCCGGAUUUAUUGGGUUUAAAGGGUGCGUAGGCGGCCUAUUAAGUCAGGGGUGAAAGACGGUAGCUUAACUAUCGCAGUGCCUUUGAUACUGAUGGGCUUGAAUGUACUUGAAGUGGGCGGAAUGUGACAAGUAGCGGUGAAAUGCAUAGAUAUGUCACAGAACACCGAUUGCGAAGGCAGCUCACUAAAGUAUGAUUGACGCUGAGGCACGAAAGCGUGGGGAUCAAACAGGAUUAGAUACCCCAGUAGUCCCUGUCUCUUAUAA
rnacentral:rRNA from 1 species